CCUCUGUAGGAGGAAGUCUGACGGAGCACGCCGCGUGAGUGAUGAAGGCUUUCGGGUCGUAAAACUCUGUUGUUAGGGAAGAACAAGUACGAGAGUAACUGCUCGUACCUUGACGGUACCUAACCAGAAAGCCACGGCUAACUACGUGCCAGCAGCCGCGGUAAUACGUAGGUGGCAAGCGUUAUCCGGAAUUAUUGGGCGUAAAGCGCGCGCAGGCGGUUUCUUAAGUCUGAUGUGAAAGCCCACGGCUCAACCGUGGAGGGUCAUUGGAAACUGGGGAACUUGAGUGCAGAAGAGAAAAGCGGAAUUCCACGUGUAGCGGUGAAAUGCGUAGAGAUGUGGAGGAACACCAGUGGCGAAGGCGGCUUUUUGGUCUGUAACUGACGCUGAGGCGCGAAAGCGUGGGGAGCAAACAGGAUUAGAUACCCUGGUAGUCCACGCCGUAAACGAUGAGUGCUAAGUGUUAGAGGGUUUCCGCCCUUUAGUGCUGCAGCUAACGCAUUAAGCACUCCGCC
rnacentral:rRNA from 2 species